UACAGAGGGUGCGAGCGUUAAUCGGAAUUACUGGGCGUAAAGCGUGCGUAGACGGUUAUUUAAGUCGGAUGUGAAAGCCCCGGGCUCAACCUGGGAAUUGCAUUCGAGACUGAAUAGCUAGGGUGCGGUAGGGGGAAGCGGAAUUUCCGGUGUAGCGGUGAAAUGCGUAGAUAUCGGAAGGAACAUCAGUGGCGAAAGCGGCUUCCUGGACCAGCACCGACGUUCAGGCACGAAAGCGUGGGGAGCAAACAGG
rnacentral:rRNA from 1 species